UACGUAGGUGGCGAGCGUUGUCCGGAAUUACUGGGUGUAAAGCGCGCGUAGGCGGUAGGCCAAGUCUGCUGUGAAAUCGCCCGGCUCAACUGGGCGCGGUCGGUGGAAACUGGUCAGCUGGAGGACGGUAGAGGCGAGUGGAAUUCCCGGUGUAGUGGUGAAAUGCGUAGAGAUCGGGAGGAACACCAGUGGCGAAGGCGGCUCGCUGGGCCGGACCUGACGCUGAGGCGCGAAGGCGUGGGGAGCGAACGGG
rnacentral:rRNA from 1 species